rnacentral:rRNA from 1 species
UACGGAGGGUGCGAGCGUUGUUCGGAAUUAUUGGGCGUAAAGCGCGUGUAGGCGGUCUUUUAAGUCUGAUGUGAAAGCCCCGGGCUCAACCUGGGAAGUGCAUUGGAAACUGGGAGACUUGAAUACGGGAGAGGGUAGUGGAAUUCCUAGUGUAGGAGUGAAAUCCGUAGAUAUUAGGAGGAACACCGGUGGCGAAGGCGGCUACCUGGACCGAUAUUGACGCUGAGACGCGAAAGCGUGGGGAGCAAACAGG